GCGCGCGCAACGCUGACCCAUUGGCCUACCACAUGCAAGUCGAACGAGACCUUCGGGCCUAGUGGCGCACGGGUGCGUAACGCGUGGGAAUCUGCCCUUGGGUUCGGAAUAACGGUUAGAAAUGAAUGCUAAUACCGGAUGAUGUCGUAAGCUCAAAGAUUUAUCGCCCAAGGAUGAGCCCGCGUAGGAUUAGCUAGUUGGUGAGGUAAAGGCUCACCAAGGCGACGAUCCUUAGCUGGUCUGAGAGGAUGAUCAGCCACACUGGGACUGAGACACGGCCCAGACUCCUACGGGAGGCAGCAGUGGGGAAUAUUGGACAAUGGGCGAAAGCCUGAUCCAGCAAUGCCGCGUGAGUGAUGAAGGGCUUAGGGUUGUAAAGCUCUUUUACCCGGGAUGAUAAUGACAGUACCGGGAGAAUAAGCCCCGGCUAACUCCGUGCCAGCAGCCGCGGUAAU
rnacentral:rRNA from 1 species